GGGCGAAUGGUCUAGAGGUAUGAUAUUCGCUUUGCAUAAAUCUGACUAUUUCAGAGUGAAAUGCUUGCGAAGGGUCUGGGGUUCAAUUCCCCGUUCGUCCA